CGCUCAGAUCCGCGAGAUAUUCAACAUCGAGAAUGACUUCGCAAAGGAGCAGGAGGAGGAGAUUCGCCAGGAGCACGCCUGGGCCUUCAACGUCUAGAAGCCUUCGGAUCCACUUCGCGCUGCGCUCACAUCUUACUGGAUCUGCCGGUGCCAGCCUUAGCGUUGCAGUUGAUACUGGAAGAGUUAAUACUAAUCUGCGGGCUGCGGUGGUGUCAAUUUGGAUAGCAACGGCGUGGCCGCGGUGGUCUGGUCUGGGUAUGGGCAUCAAGGCUUCUGGCAGUCUGGCGCCUGGCAGAGUGACGACGGCGGAAGACGAAAACGUCGCAUUGAACGAAGACAGGAGACUUGAUGGGUCACGAACUCACGAUUCACGAACUAUGGACUCAGGCCAUGGACCAGGGAGUGCCAGACUGCCAGGGGGUGCCAGACUGCCAGGGGUAGAGGCACAGAGAGGCCCAGGCCACUGCAGAGGCUGCAAACCGUCAGGGGGUGCCAGGCUCCCCCGUGCCCCCCUCCCUCCGCC